GAUGAACGCUGGCGGCGUGCCUAAUACAUGCAAGUAGAACGCUGAAGGAGGAGCUUGCUCUUCUGGAUGAGUUGCGAACGGGUGAGUAACGCGUAGGUAACCUGCCUGGUAGCGGGGGAUAACUAUUGGAAACGAUAGCUAAUACCGCAUGACAACAGCUAUUGCAUGAUAACUGUUUAAAAGGGGCAACUGCUCCACUACCAGAUGGACCUGCGUUGUAUUAGAUAGUUGUAUAGGUAACGGCUCACCAAGGCGACGAUACAUAGCCGACCUGAGAGGGUGAUCGGCCACAAUGUGACUGAGACACGGCCCAGACUCCUACGGGAGGCAGCAGAAGGGAAGCUUCGGCAAUGGACGGAAGUCUGACCGAGCAACGCCGCGUGAGUGAAGAAGGUUUUCGGAUCGUAAGGCUCUGUUGUAAGGGAAGAACGAGUGUGAGAGUGGAAAGUUCACACUGUGACGGUAACUAACCAGAAAGGGACGGCUAACUACGUG
rnacentral:rRNA from 1 species